GUCAUCGUCAAUAUCAUCAUUGCACGCUUGAAGACCUUCAUUUUUGUAUUUUUCUUUAUCUGUAUACAUCGGUUUUAAGAGUCUCGAUACACAGUGCCUGCAAAUGGAAAGUCUGAAACCUCCUUUAAUCCAUUCGUGCAUCUGAUUGUGUAAGGGUUUGAUGGCUUGUUUCCCUCUCACCAAAAUCGUACAUACUUAGGGUUGAAGCAUCGUUGCAUCCUUCUUCUUUAUGGAAUCAAGCCGGAAAUCACACAACUUUUGAAAAUUGCACUGGACCUACGGUGAUGGAGGCGAUUGUGUGUGUUUUUCAUGUAUGCUCUGUAUUUUUUUUCUUUAUUCAAGAUUGUAAAUGGAGUUCCUGAAAAUGAAAUGGAGGAAAGGACACCCACAUCGGGUUUUGUUCCUUGAGAUUUGGGGAUUCCAUCGAUUUUGUACACCAUAUGCAUCGAAGAAAACCCCAUUUGGAUUCUGAAAAAAGUGAAGCUGAAAGAGGGAGAAGAAGAUGCUACCUUCAAAUAUCCUUUUUGAAAUGAAAAAAAAAACGUUCAAUUUCUGCAAAUGAAAAAAUCGAAACAAGCUACCUUAUUAGGUUUUAGAAUCGAAACAUGUGUAUGUUCAUCAUUAUGUGUAUGUUAUGAGUUAAGAAGAGCCUGAUGAAGAUGACUAAUA